rnacentral:rRNA from 1 species
CAGCCGCCGCGGGAAUACGAAGGGUGCAAGCGUUAAUCGGAAUUACUGGGCGUAAAGCGUGCGUAGGCGGUGAGUUAAGUCUGCUGUGAAAUCCCCGGGCUCAACCUGGGAAUGGCAGUGGAUACUGGCUCGCUAGAGUGUGUCAGAGGAUGGUGGGAUUCCCGGUGUAGCGGUGAAAUGCGUAGAGAUCGGGAGGAACAUCAGUGGCGAAGGCGGCCAUCUGGGACAACACUGACGCUGAGGCGCGAAAGCGUGGGGAGCAAACCGGAUUAGAUACCCCCGUAGUCCCUGUCUCUUAUCC